UUAUCUUCUUCUUUGUGGCAGACUUCAAAAGAGGUGUUCAGACAGAGUAGCAGCAGGAUCGCACAGAUUAACAGAUGACGUAGAAAAUUAGUACAAGUGGAGAGAGAGAGAGAGAGGGCAAAGAGAUGGGAUGGUGAGUUUAUUAUGGUUUGGUCUUUGCUUUUUACUGAUUGGUUUUUGGAGGCUUUUAAAAGAAGAGAAAGGACAAGACCC
rnacentral:lncRNA from 1 species